rnacentral:rRNA from 1 species
ACGGGAGGCAGCAGUAGGGAAUAUUGCACAAUGGGGGAAACCCUGAUGCAGCGACGCCGCGUGAGUGAUGAAGUAUUUCGGUACGUAAAGCUCUAUCAGCAGGGAAGAUGAUGACGGUACCUGCAUAAGAAGCCCCGGCUAACUACGUGCCAGCAGCCGCGGUAAUACGUAGGGGGCAAGCGUUAUCCGGAUUUACUGGGUGUAAAGGGAGUGUAGGUGGUCGGGCAAGUCCGAUGUGAAAGCCCGCAGCUCAACCGCGGGACUGCAUUGGAAACUGUCCGACUGGAGUGCAGGAGAGGAAAGUGGAAUUCCUAGUGUAGCGGUGAAAUGCGUAGAUAUUAGGAAGAACACCAGUGGCGAAGGCGGCUUUCUGGACUGUAACUGACACUGAGGCUCGAAAGCGUGGGGAGCAAACAGGAUUAGAUACCCUGGUA